rnacentral:rRNA from 1 species
GACAGAGGGUGCAAGCGUUGUUCGGAAUUAUUGGGCGUAAAGCGCGUGUAGGCUGCUUGAUAAGUCUGGCGUGAAAGCCUGAGGCUCAACCUCAGAAGUGCGUUGGAAACUGUCAAGCUGGAGUAUCGGAGGGGGAAGUGGAAUGCCGAGUGUAGAGGUGAAAUUCGUAGAUAUUCGGCAGAACAUCAGUGGCGAAGGCGACUUCCUGGACGAAUACUGACGCUGAGACGCGAAAGCGUGGGUAGCAAACAGG